UCUGAGGAUCCCCGAGAGGACCGGUUUGUUCAGGGCCCCCUGAGGUUCGUGGUCGGGAGCGACUUUCAAGGGCUGGGGGGUGCUGGGCAGGCCUGAGAGGAUCUGACGGUUGGAGAGAUGACUUUUGGGGACCUGAAGGUUGGCGGGGGGGGGGCAGGAGGGUCCGACCAUCCAGGUGGCCCAGACCAUCCAGUUAGGGUUGGGAUGGGCGGCCCCACAGAUAUGGGGGUGCCUGGAGAGGGGUGCUGGGGGGCCCCGAGAGCGGCUCACCCUGGCAGCCCGCGACGAGUAGGGGUCCUCGAAGAGCGCCCACACACGGGGCUGCCAGCGGCGCCACCACGUGCCGCCCGCGCCGCCCGCGCCCCCUGGCGGGCCCCGGCGCCGCCGCCCGAGUCCUGGAAGCAGAGGCGCUUGAGCUCGCCGCCCGCGCCAUCCAGGCCGCCGCCGCCCGCGCCCGCCUCGUCGUCCAGGCCCGUGUCGUGCGCUCCCGCGGCAGCGGCAUUGGCGGCGCCCGCAGGGUCCGGGGCCUCGAAGGAGUCGAGCGCCUCCUCCGCGUCGCGGUGCUGCCGGUAGGUCAUCCAGCAGCAGGCCUCCACGUCGGUCUCGUCGAUGCCCCAGAAGCCCAGCUCCUCCUCGAAGAGCGGCCCGCACACGUCGGCCGGGCAGUGCAGCUUGCCCGUGCGGUAGUAGUUGAGCACGUAGGCGAAGACGCCCGGGUGCCGGUCGAAGAAGAACUCGUCUGCGCCGGGGUCGUAGUCGAAGCGCGCGGCCGCCUCGGGCUCCGUCAGGCCGGCCAGCCGCGUACCCGGCAGGGUGCGCAGCGUCGAGCGGUACGUCUCAUGGCGCACGCCGCCCACGUUGAUCACGAUCUUGCCGCUGUCGCCACCGCCGCCGCCGUGCCGCCCCAUGGCCGCCGCUGGCAGCCCGGGGCAUGGCUCGGCGCGGGGGUCCCCGGGCCCUCGGGGUGCCUGGGGGCCCGCCGGGGAUGCGGCUGGGCCGGGCUGCGCAGGCUGCAGCGGCGGCGGCGGUGGCGGGGACAGCGGCGGCGGGGACUCGGGCUGCUGCGGUGGUGGCGCCGGCUGCUGCUUGCUGGCCCCCUGGCGCCGGGGGAAGGACGAGACGCAGACUGAGCUCAGCAUUGGACAGGGGGCGGGCCGGAGGGGGCAGGGCAGAGAGGGGCGGGGCUCGGGAGGAGAGAUGGACGUGAUUGGGUGGGAGGAGGCGAUGACUAGGAGGGCCGGGCCUGGAGGGUGCAGAGACUGACGCGAUUGGGUGGGAAAAGGCGAUAGAAUGGGGGGGUGGGGCCUCCGUGGGAGAGGAUCAGAGAUGAUUGGCCUGAGGGGUGAGUGGGUGUGGCUGAGGUCUGGAAGGGGGGGCUGGGUCUCUAAUACAGCCUGAAAGGGGGGGCACGAGUGAGGCUCCCCAAUUGGAUGUUUCGGGUGAAGGGCGGGGCGUCAAAGGGUCGCUAACGCUAUCUGGGCGAAACAGGGGAGGGAGAAAGGAGAAAGCGGAGCGAGGUAAGUGAAAGAGACCUGAGAGAAGCAGAAAAAAAGGGGAGCCGGGCUGGCCGGGAAGGUAAGGGCCACGAUGAGAGAAGCUGAUCGGAUUGCACUAAGAAGGGGCCCUAGGGGAGUAAGUUUGCACACCUGGACCUAAAGCCCUGGCAGACAGGACCGUGUGCAGGGGCAGGGGGAGAGGACGGAGUCGAGCUAACAUUGGACGGAUCAGAGCCGAGGACAGUAGAAGGGGCACUGAUUGGACUGGGACAAGGAAGGCGGGACUGAGCCAGGGGCGGGAACUAUGGACAGAAUGGGGCCAGGCCGGACUGAAAAGGGCCACGACUAAGGGGAAGAGACUGAGAUCCGGACCCCAAUCCAGGGAAUGAUCCUCGGGCAGCCCUCAAGCCUCUGAUGGGACCCACCAGGGCCAAGGAAAGACCUGGGCACCACCUGUCCAUGCCCCAAAUUCUGGUGUGCCCCAGGCAGAAGCGGGCAACCCUGAGACCACCCCACCCCAGCUUUCCACUAUCGGACUGCAGCCACACAGGAGAUCAAGUGACCAAAUCAGCGUUCUAGCAGAGGUCAGACGGUAUGCAUAAAGUGAGGGUUUGGUGGGGAGAAAGGAGCUGGAAAGGGGAAGACUAUGGGAUGAGAUUUGGGAUUCAAGACUACAGAGGGAGGGGGAGCCCGCCGCAGGGAGCAGUAAUAGGAUGGCCCAGGUUCCCUGGGCCCUGGGAAAUUUGGACGCUGUCACCUCUUAUGGCCUUGCCGGACCUCACCAGGCUACGUGGGGGAUCUGUGAGUCUCGAGUCUCCGCCUGUCCCUUGGAGGGGAUUUUGGGAGACAAGAUGGACCCUGAGUUACAGGACACCCAGCUAUGCUCACAGAGGAGGACACGGACUCCAUGCUUGGCAACAGACACCAGGAGAGGAAAAGCUAAUGCCUGUCCACUUCUUCUAAUCUUUCCCCAGCCCUGCUCCCCCAAUCUAUCUUUUCCCGGACACUCAAAGCACAGAAUUCCUGAAAGCUCCGAACUCCCAGCUCUGCCAUCUCUGGAACUCCUUUCCAAUCCUCCCUCCCUCCUUCCUCAGGGCCCGGCGAUUGGGGAUGGGUCUUCCCCUCCCUGAUUUCCAAGACCUCUAUUCUCAUCGGUUCCAAAUCCAGCAAAGGGAGUCUCACUAAAGCUGAAAAUGUGAGGACUCGCCGCCUAAGAUCUUUGAUUGCUAAGACCUCCAAAUACCUGGGUGCCCCAAAGCGUACAACCGAGCGGAGAUCUCUCCGCUGUCAUUUUUGGGUCCCAUCUCCCAGUCCCCGCCUCCAUAACUGGGAUUCGAGUUGUCUUACGCCCCCCGCGGACCUGAACCUCCGCCCCCGCCCCCGUACUCACCCCUAGUCGA
ensembl:lncRNA